rnacentral:rRNA from 1 species
UACGAAGGGGGCUAGCGUUGUUCGGAAUUACUGGGCGUAAAGCGCACGUAGGCGGAUCCUUAAGUCAGGGGUGAAAUCCCGAGGCUCAACCUCGGAACUGCCUUUGAUACUGGGGAUAUCGAGUCCGGGAGAGGUGAGUGGAACUGCGAGUGUAGAGGUGAAAUUCGUAGAUAUUCGCAAGAACACCAGUGGCGAAGGCGGCUCACUGGCCCGGUACUGACGCUGAGGUGCGAAAGCGUGGGGAGCAAGCAGG